AUUGAACGCUGGCGGCAGGCCUAACACAUGCAAGUCGAACGGUAGCACAGAGAGCUUGCUCUUGGGUGACGAGUGGCGGACGGGUGAGUAAUGUCUGGGAAACUGCCUGAUGGAGGGGGAUAACUACUGGAAACGGUAGCUAAUACCGCAUAACGUCGCAAGACCAAAGAGGGGGACCUUCGGGCCUCUUGCCAUCAGAUGUGCCCAGAUGGGAUUAGCUAGUAGGUGGGGUAACGGCUCACCUAGGCGACGAUCCCUAGCGGGUCUGAGAGGAUGACCAGCCACACUGGAACUGAGACACGGUCCGGACUCCUACGGGAGGCAGCAGUGGGGAAUAUUGCACAAUGGGCGCAAGCCUGAUGCAGCCAUGCCGCGUGUAUGAAGAAGGCCUUCGGGUUGUAAAGUACUUUCAGCGAGGAGGAAGGCGAUACGGUUAAUAACCGUGUCGAUUGACGUUACUCGCAGAAGAAGCACCGGCUAACUCCGUGCCAGCCGCCGCGGUAAUAC
rnacentral:rRNA from 1 species